rnacentral:rRNA from 1 species
UCAAAGAUUAAGCCAUGCAUGUCUAAGUACAUGCCGAAACAAGGCGAAACCGCGAAUGGCUCAUUAAAUCAGUUAUGGUUCCUUAGAUCGUUUCUUCCUACUUGGAUAACUGUGGCAAUUCUAGAGCUAAUACAUGCAGUGAGCCCGAAGCCCCUCGGGGCGACGGGUGCUUUUAUUAGACCAAGAUCAAUCGGGCUUCGGUCCGUUUUGUGUGGUGACUCUGGAUAACUUUGUGCUGAUCGCACGGCCACGAGCCGGCGACGUUUCUUUCAAGUGUCUGCCUUAUCAACUGUCGAUGGUAGGUUAUGCGCCUACCAUGGUUGUUACGGGUAACGGAGAAUCAGGGUUCGAUUCCGGAGAGGGAGCCUGAGAAACGGCUACCACAUCCAAGGAAGGCAGCAGGCGCGCAAAUUACCCACUCCCGGCACGGGGAGGUAGUGACGAAAAAUAACAAUACGGGACUCUUUUGAGGCCCCGUAAUUGAAAUGAGUACACUCUAAAUCCUUUAACGAGGAUCCAUUGGAGGGCAAGUCUGGUGCCAGCAGCCGCGGUAAUUCCAGCUCCAAUAGCGUAUACUAAAGUUGCUGCGGUUAAAAAGCUCGUAGUUGGAUCUCAGUUGCAGGCGGGAAGUGCGUGGACACCACGUUACGGCCCGUGCUGAACAUCAUGCCUGUCGUGGCUUGGUGCUCUUGACUGAGUGCCUUGCCUUGACCGGCGCGUUUACUUUGAAAAAAUUAGAGUGCUCAACGCAGGCGAUUCGCCUGAAUAACAGUGCAUGGAAUAAUAGAACAAGAUCCUGUUUCUGUUCUGUUGGUUUUUGGAAUACAGGAUAAUGAUUAAGAGGGACAGACGGGGGCAUUCGUAUUGCGGCGCUAGAGGUGAAAUUCUUGGACCGUCGCAAGACGAACUACUGCGAAAGCAUUUGCCAAGAAUGUUUUCUUUGAUCAAGAACGAAAGUUAGAGGUUCGAAGGCGAUCAGAUACCGCCCUAGUUCUAACCAUAAACGAUGCCAACCAGCGAUCCGCCUGAGUUACUCAAAUGACUCGGCGGGCAGCUUCCGGGAAACCAAAGUAUUUGGGUUCCGGGG